UACGGGGGGGGCAAGCGUUGUUCGGAAUUACUGGGCGUAAAGGGCUCGUAGGCGGCCAACUAAGUCAGACGUGAAAUCCCCAGGCUCAACCUGGGAACUGCGUCUGAUACUGGAUGGCUUGAAUCCGGGAGAGGGAUGCAGAAUUCCAGGUGUAGCGGUGAAAUGCGUAGAUAUCUGGAGGAACACCGGUGGCGAAGGCGGCGUUCUGGACUGCAACUGACACUGAGGAACGAAAGCCAGGGUAGCAAACGGG
rnacentral:rRNA from 1 species